GGAAACAAAGAUUUGUGUUACUAAGAUAUCUCAUAAAAGGUAGAGUAGCUGAGGUAUAAGUGGUACAACUUUUAACACUGUUUCCCUUAGUUUAAAAAAAAAAUAAAUUACUAGAGAAUUAAAAGAGAAAUAAGACUGUACCUGUAGGCUUGCCCUUCGCUGUCACUGAGCAUAGUGGCACUCCCACGCACGUGAUCUUCAUCUGAGAAGUCGGGGGUAUGAGAUGCCGAGCCCUUGCUUUGAGGAGUUGACUGAGCAGAACUUGAACUGAUGCUUUUGGAAAUCCCAUGGUGCUCAAGGAAGUAACUGAACCUGGUGAGAAGCAUGGACUCUCUCCAUUCAUAUGCUUGGAUGGAGAAAAUCGAGACAAAUUACCUUUCUACUGAGAAAUUCUCUCACCAGUGAUGCAGCCACUUCUUCCACAAAGGAGUUGUCCAUUUUUAGCCCAAAGUGUGCUUAGGGGGUGUAUCCUUUACUUCAUCUAACAAAUCAUUCAAGUCUGCCGGCAUUGCAGCUCUUCGGUGCGGCUUUUAACCACUGCAGUCCUGAAGCAGCGGCGGG